rnacentral:rRNA from 1 species
GACGAACGCUGGCGGCGUGCCUAAUACAUGCAAGUCGAGCGGACGGAUGGGAGCUUGCUCCCAGCCCGUCAGCGGCGGACGGGUGAGUAACACGUGGGCAACCUGCCUGUAAGACUGGGAUAACUCCGGGAAACCGGGGCUAAUACCGGAUAACUCUUUCCCUCACAUGAGGGAAAGCUGAAAGAUGGCAUCUCGCUAUCACUUACAGAUGGGCCCGCGGCGCAUUAGCUAGUUGGUGAGGUAACGGCUCACCAAGGCGACGAUGCGUAGCCGACCUGAGAGGGUGAUCGGCUACACUGGGACUGAGACACGGCCCAGACACCUACGGGAGGCAGCAGUAGGGAAUCUUCCGCAAUGGACGAAAGUCUGACGGAGCAACGCCGCGUGAGUGAUGAAGGUGUUCGGAUCGUAAAACUAUGUUGUCAGGGAAGAACAAGUACCGGAGUAACUGCCGAUACCUUGACGGUACCUGACCAGAAAGCCACGGCUAACUACGUG